CACGACCUCUCCCACGACCACGAC
rnacentral:siRNA from 1 species